AGAAGAAAAAACAUGUGCCCACUUUUUUUUUUUUUUUUUUUUUUUUUUUCCCCCCCAGUGGCCCUAAUCCUCUUCCGUAGAAAAGGGAAGACGUUUUACUUAUUAAAUAUAAAAUGACACUUUAAGGCAACAUUGGGUUUAUUUACUGCCACUUAUCCUUACAACAUAGCCUUGGUGUUCUGACCUGCACUAAUAAAGUUCAGUAUCAUGAGUUGAGUGGAGGGGGAAAAAAACUUGACUUGGGCUCCAGAAAGAUUUUGAUCUGAUCUUCUGAAGUAGCCAUCUGUUUAUUAGCGGUUCACUGUGAUAGUGUGCUUCUGUUAAUACUGGGCUAGCUUUUUAUUGAAGUGGGGGGGGAAAAACAAAACCCGUUUUCUGUAUUUCACAGUAAGAGCUUAGAGUCUUUAAAGGGAACUGAUAUUAGCCUACUGCAUAAGAAUUUAUUUAUUUAAGCUAGCUGACAUGAUGUAAGCCUGAGCAUCUUUUAUAGAGAGGCUUCAGAAGAGGAGCAACGCUUAUUGUGGCAAGCUGGCUUGAAUCACAAAUAAGGAUCAAAUGUUCAUAUACUAAAAUGAGGCUUGCAGAGUUGCAGAGCACAGAUCGUAGCUCUCCACUGAAGAGAACACAGGACAAAAAUGUACUGCAGGGCGGAUGGAAAGAAACUAUAAAAUGAACAGAUUAUUUCAACCCAUUUAAAAACUGGAGAUGUGGUUUAACUGAUCAAUGGAGCAAGACAACCAUACAAGAGCACUCUUCUGUCAUUCAUCGAGGUGGACAGAGAAUCAGUCCUACCACAUAUUCACAUGAUGAUUCUACAGAUUGUAUUUAUCAGAGAGUAACUUGAAAUGGUAAAAUCAAAUUGUCUGUUAGCACUUCCUCAACCUCAUUCUAACAUGAAAAUGUUAGUGAGUUUGCAGGGCAUGAAUGAAUCCUGUAAUGGCCCAAGUUUAAAUGAUAUGGACAAUGUGCACUUCUUUUUUCUUUUUUUUUUUUUUUAACAGGAAUGAAAUCACUGUUACUCUAGCAAUAAGGCAGCUUUAUUGUGACUGAAGAACAGAUUAGGAAAGGGGUUACGUGUUUAAUUUUGCUAAGAACGUUGAAUUUUUGUCAAAUUCUUGAUUAUAGUCAAACUCCAUGCAUCUCUCUCUCAUAUGGUUAAGUGGUUUAGUGACUCAACUCAUUAAGCUAGCCGGUGGAAGAAAAUGGGUUGGUUGUGUUCAAACCAUAACAUUGAGUUAUAUGAAAUUAGGCAUGCAUACAGUGUGCUGAGCAUCAGCCUUAUUGGCUUUUGCAUUUUUCCAUCGAUCCAUGUUUUAUAUGAUCUCUGCUCCCAUGUGUGUAUGCUGGGGUUUGUUUUUUUUUUGUUUUUGUUUUUUUUUUUCUUCAAUUCAUGCUCGUGUUUAUCCUAUCAAAAUUCCUUUUUGUCCAAAAUCCUUCACUACAACCUCAAAUUGAUGCUUUUGUUCAUUUUCCUGUAGAUAAGAUGACUGUACUUUUCUAAAACACUGAAGACAGAAAGAUAAGGGAACAUUUUUUUGUUUCUAAGAUUUCUUCUAUUUCAUCCUGCCCCUGCCAGCUUUCAAAUGUUUUCAAGCUGUGGGACUGACUAUUAGGGUUUGUAUCACUAGUCAAGUCAUCAUUUGAUUAUUUAACUGGAUGUUAAACUGUUAUGCCGAAACUCGAUUAACAUGUACAGAUCAGUUUUUGUUAGGAUUAUAUUAAGUUUGAUUUGAUUGUACAGAUCUGUUAGGAAAAAAAAUAAAAGUUCUUGAAAGUGGUUUCAGAUCGUCUGGAAGUGCCUUUUUUUUUUUUUUUUUUUUUUUUUCUUUUUUUUUUUUUUUGUAUAAAUUUUUUAAACUGCUUUGGCAUACUACUGUGUGAUACUCCUCAUCUCAGGUCAAGCCAGCUAAGAAAGUUUGGCUUUGUUGAACUUAGUUUUUUUUUUUGGUAUUCUUGAAUGGAAC
ensembl:lncRNA